CCUACGGGAGGCUGCAGUGAGGAAUAUUGGUCAAUGGACGAGAGUCUGAACCAGCCAAGUAGCGUGAAGGAUGACUGCCCUAUGGGUUGUAAACUUCUUUUAUAAAGGAAUAAAACGAGGCACGUGUGCCUUUUUGCAUGUACUUUAUGAAUAAGGAUCGGCUAACUCCGUGCCAGCAGCCGCGGUAAUACGGAGGAUCCGAGCGUUAUCCGGAUUUAUUGGGUUUAAAGGGAGCGUAGAUGGGUUGUUAAGUCAGUUGUGAAAGUUUGCGGCUCAACCGUAAAAUUGCAAUUGAUACUGGCAGUCGUGAGUACAGUUGAGGUAGGCGGAAUUCGUGGGGUAGCGGUGAAAUGCUUAGAUAUCACGAAGAACCCCGAUUGCGAAGGCAGCUUACUAAACUGUGACUGACAUUGAUGCUCGAAAGUGUGGGUAUCAAACAGGAUUAGAUACCCUGGUAGUC
rnacentral:rRNA from 1 species